rnacentral:rRNA from 1 species
UACGUAGGGUGCGAGCGUUAAUCGGAAUUACUGGGCGUAAAGCGUGCGCAGGCGGUUAAGUAAGACAGAUGUGAAAUUCCCGGGCUCAACCUGGGAACUGCAUUUGUGACUGCUUGACUAGAGUGCGGCAGAGGGGAGUGGAAUUCCGCGUGUAGCAGUGAAAUGCGUAGAUAUGCGGAGGAACACCGAUGGCGAAGGCAGCUCCCUGGGCCUGCACUGACGCUCAUGCACGAAAGCGUGGGGAGCAAACAGG